ACGCUGGCGGCGUGCCUAAUACAUGCAAGUAGAACGCUGAAGCUUGGUGCUUGCACCGAGCGGAUGAGUUGCGAACGGGUGAGUAACGCGUAGGUAACCUGCCUCUUAGCGGGGGAUAACUAUUGGAAACGAUAGCUAAUACCGCAUAAAAGUCGACAUCGCAUGAUGUUGACUUGAAAGGUGCAAUUGCAUCACUAAGAGAUGGACCUGCGUUGUAUUAGCUAGUUGGUGAGGUAACGGCUCACCAAGGCGACGAUACAUAGCCGACCUGAGAGGGUGAUCGGCCACACUGGGACUGAGACACGGCCCAGACUCCUACGGGAGGCAGCAGUAGGGAAUCUUCGGCAAUGGGGGCAACCCUGACCGAGCAACGCCGCGUGAGUGAAGAAGGUUUUCGGAUCGUAAAGCUCUGUUGUAAGAGAAGAACGAGUGUGAGAGUGGAAAGUUCACACUGUGACGGUAACUUACCAGAAAGGGACGGCUAACUACGUGCCAGCAGCCGCGGUAAUACGUAGGUCCCGAGCGUUAUCCGGACUUAUUGGGCGUAAAGCGAGCGCAGGCGGUUAGAUAAGUCUGAAGUUAAAGGCUGUGGCUUAACCAUAGUACGCUUUGGAAACUGUUUAACUUGAGUGCAGAAGGGGAGAGUGGAAUUCCAUGUGUAGCGGUGAAAUGCGUAGAUAUAUGGAGGAACACCGGUGGCGAAAGCGGCUCUCUGGUCUGUAACUGACGCUGAGGCUCGAAAGCGUGGGGAGCAAACAGGAUUAGAUACCCUGGUAGUCCACGCCGUAAACGAUGAGUGCUAGGUGUUGGGUCCUUUCCGGGACUCAGUGCCGCAGCUAACGCAUUAAGCACUCCGCCUGGGGAGUACGACCGCAAGGUUGAAACUCAAAGGAAUUGACGGGGGCCCGCACAAGCGG
rnacentral:rRNA from 1 species